GACAGAGGUGCCAAGCGUUAGGCGGAAUCACUGGGCUUAAAGCGUAUGUAGGCGGAUUUGUAAGUACCUUGUGAAAUCCCACGGCUCAACCGUGGAACUGCUCGGUAUACUGCUUAUCUUGAGCCACUUAGGGGCUACCGGAACAAAUGGUGGAGCGGUGAAAUGCGUAGAUAUCAUUUGGAACGCCAAUGGCGAAGGCAGCUUGCUGGGACGGUACUGACGCUGAGGCGCGAAAGCGUGGGGAGCAAACAGG
rnacentral:rRNA from 1 species